rnacentral:sRNA from 1 species
UAUAUUGUAUCCUUGUUAGAAGAUACAAAGACAAAGACUCAUAUGGACUUCGGCUACACCAUCAAAUCUUUGAGAAGCAAGAAGAAUAUUGGUUAGUGUUUUGGAGUGAAAUAUGACUAGAUGUCAUGUGUAUGAGUAAGUAUAACAACUAGAAUCACAACCAUAUCUUAAAAGCCUAAGUAUUGUAUCCUUGUUAAAAGAUACAAAGACAAAGACUCAUAGAGACUUCGCCUACACCAUCAAAGCUUUGAGAAGCAAGAAGAAGCUUGUUAGUGUUUUGGAGGCGAAUAUAACUUGAUGUCAUGUGUAUGAUUGAGUAUAAGAACUUAAACUGCAACUGGAUCUUAAAGGCCUAAGUAGUGUUUCCUUGUUAGAAGAUACAAAGCCGAAGACUCAUACGGAGUUUAGCUA